AGUGAACGCUGGCGGUAGGCCUAACACAUGCAAGUCGAACGGCAGCACAGUAAGAGCUUGCUCUUACGGGUGGCGAGUGGCGGACGGGUGAGGAAUACAUCGGAAUCUACUUUUUCGUGGGGGAUAACGUAGGGAAACUUACGCUAAUACCGCGUACGACCUACGGGUGAAAGCAGGGGAUCUUCGGACCUUGCGCGAUUGAAUGAGCCGAUGUCGGAUUAGCUAGUUGGCGGGGUAAAGGCCCACCAAGGCGACGAUCCGUAGCUGGUCUGAGAGGAUGAUCAGCCACACUGGAACUGAGACACGGUCCAGACUCCUACGGGAGGCAGCAGUGGGGAAUAUUGGACAAUGGGCGCAAGCCUGAUCCAGACAUACCGCGUGGGUGAAGAAGGCCUUCGGGUUGUAAAGCCCUUUUGUUGGGAAAGAAAAGCAGCAGGUUAAUACCCCGCUGUUCUGACGGUACCCAAAGAAUAAGCGCCGGCUAACUUCGUGC
rnacentral:rRNA from 1 species